rnacentral:rRNA from 1 species
AGCGAACGCUGGCGGCAGGCUUAACACAUGCAAGUCGAGCGGGCACUUCGGUUUCAUCUGCCGACUGGUUAGUAACACGUUGGAACGUACCCUUUUGUUCGGUAUAACUCUGGGAAACUAGCGCUAAUACCGGAUACGCCCUUUUGGGGAAAGGCUUGCUGCCGAAGGAUCGGCCCGCGUCUGAUUAGCUAGUUGGUUGGGUAAUAGCCUACCAAGGCGAAGAUCAGUAGCUGGUCUGAGAGGAUGAUCAGCCACACUGGGACUGGGACACGGCGGAGAAUCCUAGGGGAGGGAGAAGUGGGGAAUAUUGGACAAGGGGGGAAAGCAUGAGGAAGCCAGGGCGGGUGAGUGAUGAAGGCGUUAGGGUAGUAAAGGAGUUUUGAAAGGGAAGAUAAUGACGGUAACGAAAGAAUAAGCCCCGGCUAACUACGUG